rnacentral:rRNA from 1 species
GAUGAACGCUAGCGGCAGGCCUAACACAUGCAAGUCGAGGGAGGAGCUUUCGGGCUUCGACCGGCGUACGGGUGCGUAACGCGUAUACAAUCUGCCUUUCACAUAGGGAUAGCCCGAAGAAAUUUGGAUUAAUACCUAAUGGUAUAUAGAGGUGGCAUCACCUUUAUAUUAAAGCUGAGGCGGUGAAAGAUGAGUAUGCGUUCUAUUAGCUAGUUGGAGAGGUAACGGCUCCCCAAGGCGACGAUAGAUAGGGGUUCUGAGAGGGAUAUCCCCCACACUGGUACUGAGAUACGGACCAGACUCCUACGGGAGGCAGCAGUGAGGAAUAUUGGACAAUGGUCGGAAGACUGAUCCAGCCAUGCCGCGUGCAGGAAGACGGCCUUAUGGGUUGUAAACUGCUUUUGCAGGGGAAGAAUAAGGACUACGCGUAGUUUGAUGACGGUACUCUGCGAAUAAGCAGCGGCUAACUCCGUG